GGAGCAAACAGGAUUAGAUACCCUGGUAGUCCACGCCGUAAACGAUGUCUACUAGCUGUAGGGGUACUUGAGACCUUUGUAGCGCAGCUAACGCAAUAAGUAGACCGCCUGGGGAGUACGGCCGCAAGGUUAAAACUCAAAUGAAUUGACGGGGGCCCGCACAAGCGGUGGAGCAUGUGGUUUAAUUCGACGCAACGCGAAGAACCUUACCUGGUCUUGACAUCCUGCGAACUUUCUAGAGAUAGAUUGGUGCCUUCGGGAACGCAGUGACAGGUGCUGCAUGGCUGUCGUCAGCUCGUGUCGUGAGAUGUUGGGUUAAGUCCCGUAACGAGCGCAACCCUUGUCCUUAUUUGCCAGCACAUAAUGGUGGGAACUCUAAGGAGACUGCCGGUGACAAACCGGAGGAAGGUGGGGACGACGUCAAGUCAUCAUGGCCCUUACGUCCUGGGCUACACACGUGCUACAAUGGCCAGUACAGAGGGCUGCAAACCCGCGAGGGGGAGCUAAUCUCACAAAGCUGGUCGUAGUCCGGAUCGCAGUCUGCAACUCGACUGCGUGAAGUCGGAAUCGCUAGUAAUCGUAGAUCAGAAUGCUACGGUGAAUACGUUCCCGGGCCUUGUACACACCGCCCGUCACACCAUGGGAGUGGAUUGCACCAGAAGUGGUUAGUCUAACCUUCGGGAGGACGAUCACCACGGUGUGGUUCAUGACUGGGGUGAAGUCGUAACAAGGUAGCCGUAGGGGAACCUGCGGCUG
rnacentral:rRNA from 1 species